rnacentral:lncRNA from 1 species
UUGUUUACCCUCUCAUCAAAUGAAAAAAGAAGAGGAUCUAAUUGCACCCUAGGGUGUGACCUAGUGGUAAAUGAAGUGGGUGGAGAACCAUAAGGUCUCAGGUUCAAAUUCAUGUGGAAGCAAAAAUACUCGGUGAUUUCUUCCCGUUUAUCCAAGCCUUGGUUGGCAGUGUCACCAGUACCUAUGGAAUUAGUGUGGGUGUACAAGCGGGCCCGUACACCACAUUUAUCAAAUAAAAAAGUGAUCUAAUUGUGUGCUUGCAUGUUUGCCUUUUAUUUCCAAGAUCACUCUCCUGCCAAGGAAAAUGAUGGAUAUCAUGUUUUUUUUCUUCGGCGCCCCUAUUUUUCUCUCAGCUCUCUGUUCUUGUGUGAGAAGUUGACAACUCCAUGUCCCCAUGGUUAGAAUAAAGCAUCUUUUUCUUUUUUCUAUGUUACUUGUUGGGAUGAGGGGAGGUGAUAUUUCACUUUCUGAGAGCUACAGUUCUUUACAAAAUUAAUAUUCUUAAGGCAUAUGUAAUUCUUGUUGCUAACAUUUCUGUUUGGAAUUUUUAGGGAUUAAGUAAAAUUUUCUUGUCUGCUUAACUUUACGCUGGAGUUACUAAUGCUCUUUUGUUUUUGUUUUUGUUUUUACUUUGCUUCACUGAGCCUAG